CAGAUGGCACACAGACGAGUGCAGGCAGGACAUCUACGUUUGCUGGAAGGUCACUCAUCCAGGGAGAAUACAGACAGGAGCAAUGUUCUCCACCUUCACUCUCACAAGAUGCGAAAUCAGCUCCGCUCCCGGAUCCUUCUUCUGCCUCACACACCUGCACCUUAAUCUUGGUUGGCAGCCCCAAUUUCCUGCCCUCCAUGAUGUUUGAUAAAACAUAAUUGCUGUUUUGGAUUCAGAGUGACUUGUCACAAAGACAGAUGCAUGCAGCUACACGCUAAUGCACGUAUAUUGUAGAGUUUCAUGACGUCUGUAAUUUUCCUAAUAAAUCUGUUGUUGCAGAAAUGGAAAUGUACGCACAUUUAUUUCCAUAUUCAAAAAAGGGCAAAGUUAUGAAUCACAGGGGGUUCUGUAGAGGCCACAUGGACCAAUCACACAGGCAAAUCAACAGAGCCUGAAUAAUCAGUGGUUUUCCUCAUGGACACUUGCCUGGUCGAGCUAAGUCCUUAAAAUCAAGAUAUUUACUGUUACCUUCCCGGGGAGGUGGUGAUUUGUUUGUUUGUCCAUUUCUUUCUUUUGCUUUGUAGGUUCAGAAAAACUACUGGACCCACUAACACAAAACCUGGUGUGUUUAUCGUUCAGGGAAGAACGCAUUACAUUUGAGUGAUGAUCUGGAUUUACAUUCUUCACUGAUUUGUUAGAGAAGAAUUCAUGCGUCUUAAUGUUUAGGAAAUCAGGAUCUAGUUUCAUCAGGGGGACUGUCGGGCCCAUGUGGACAAUGUUGAAGCCUUUUGCAAAUCAAUAAAACGUUUCCUGUCAACAAA